rnacentral:lncRNA from 1 species
GACGGGAUCUCACUGUGUUACCCAGGCUGGUCCUGAACUCCUGGACUCAAGCAGCCCUCCCGCCUCAGCCUCCGAAAGUGCUGGUGUGAGCCACCAUGCCCGGCCAUCUCCUCACUUAUAAUUUGAAGAUGAUCCCUAGGUCAGAAGUCAAAUCAAGCUUUCAGUGGGGCUGUGCUCCUUCCCCAGGCUCUGGAGGAGGACGGGUGUCCCCGUCUUCUCCAGCGGCUAGAGGCUUCCUGCGGCCUUGGCUCGUGGCCACCUCACGUCACCUUUCCUUCCUCUGCUCCGUCACUGCGUCACCUUUCUGCCUUUGACCUCCUGCCUCCCUCUAAGGACUCUGCUGGUUGCUCUGGGCCCCCUGGAUAGUCCAGGGCCAUUGCCCCACCUCGAGAGCCUUCGUUCAAUCACAUCUGCAUCGCUCCAUCUGUCAUGGAAGGCAACAUAGUCACAGGUUCCAGGGCUCGGGAUGUGGACGUCUUUGAGGGGCAGGGGGAGCACGUUAUUCUGCAGGCCGCAGCGUGGGAGCUGGGAGGCUGUCAGGCUCCUGCUGUCACACAGCGACCAUGGUGCUUAGACCAAGGGGCGUGGAGGAAGUGGCGAGAGGCACUGGACUGUGAAGAUUCUGAAGACAGAGCCAAGAGGGUUGCUCACACAUGGAGCUGGGUGUGAGGGAGGGGAGACGCCAGGGAUGAGGGUGAGGGUCUUGUCCUGAGCUACUGGAAGGAUGGCGAUGAUGGCCAGGAAACAGGAAGAAUAGGUUGGGGAGGAGAGGAGAAGGCAGG